rnacentral:sRNA from 1 species
CGACCGCUUUUUUAAGCCAAGGCCAGACGGACAGCCGGGUCGGAUGCCGA